GAGCCUCGGACGCGGGCGCCGCCUCCUGCCAUUGUUCGUCGGGCUGAAGCUGCGGCUGGGGCGGGAGCCCCGGCCGAGAACCGCGGGAACAUGACAACAGAGAAGAGCUUAGUGGCUGAAGCUGAGAAUUCUCAGCACCAGCAACAGAAGGAAGAAAGUGAGGGAGCCACAAACUCAGGCCAACGAGAAACUCAGCUGGAGGAGGCUUCCCAGGCAGCCACAGUUGAGAGCAGUAAUCAGGGUGAGCAGAAGCUGAAAGCAUCCAAUGGGGACACGCCAACACAUGAAGACUUGACCAAGAACAAGGAACGGACAUCAGAAAGCAGAGGCCUGUCACGACUGCUCUCCUCAUUCCUCAAAAGGCCCAAGUCUCAGGUCUCUGAAGAAGAAGGCAGAGAAGUAGAGUCGGAGAAAGAGAAAGGUGAAGGAGGUCAGAUAGAACUUGGAACCAGCCUUGAUGAAGACAUCAUUUUAAAGGCCCCCAUUGCGGCUCCUGAACCUGAGCUCAAAACAGACCCGUCUUUGGAUCUUCAUUCAUUAAGCAGUAUAGAAACACAGCCAGCUCAGGAGGAACACAGAGAGGACCCAGAUUCUGAAACGAAGGAAGGAGAAGGGAUUGAAGAGUGCUCUGGAACAGAGGUGAAAGAGGACCCAGAAUCAAGAGCAGAAAGAGAAGCCGAAGCCUCACAGAAGCCCGUCAGGAGACACAGAAACAUGCACUGCAAGGUCUCCUUGUUGGAUGACACAGUCUACGAAUGUGUUGUAGAGAAACAUGCUAAGGGACAAGAUCUGCUUAAGCGAGUGUGUGAACACCUCAACCUGUUGGAAGAAGACUACUUUGGCUUAGCUGUGUGGGACAGCACCACCUCUAAGACAUGGCUGGAUUCUGCCAAAGAAAUAAAAAAGCAGGUUCGAGGUGUUCCUUGGAAUUUCACAUUUAAUGUGAAGUUUUAUCCACCUGACCCAGCACAGUUAACAGAAGACAUAACAAGAUACUAUUUAUGUCUUCAGCUUCGGCAGGACAUUGUUGCUGGACGUCUGCCCUGUUCCUUUGCAACUUUAGCCCUACUUGGGUCUUACACCAUCCAGUCUGAGCUGGGAGACUACGACCCAGAACUCCAUGGCAUGGAUUAUGUUAGUGAUUUUAAACUGGCUCCAAAUCAGACCAAGGAACUUGAAGAGAAGGUCAUGGAAUUGCAUAAAUCAUACAGGUCCAUGACUCCAGCUCAGGCUGACUUGGAAUUUCUUGAGAAUGCCAAAAAGUUGUCCAUGUAUGGAGUUGAUCUUCAUAAAGCAAAGGACUUGGAGGGAGUGGACAUCAUCCUAGGAGUCUGCUCUAGUGGCCUUUUGGUUUACAAAGAUAAGUUGAGAAUUAACCGUUUUCCUUGGCCCAAAGUGCUAAAGAUUUCUUACAAACGUAGCAGCUUUUUCAUCAAGAUCCGGCCUGGAGAGCAAGAACAUUAUGAAAGUACCAUUGGCUUCAAGCUUCCCAGUUAUCGAGCAGCUAAGAAAUUAUGGAAAGUCUGCGUGGAGCAUCACACGUUUUUCAGACUAACCUCUACAGACACCAUUCCCAAAAGCAAGUUUCUUGCCCUGGGAUCCAAAUUUCGAUACAGUGGCCGGACUCAAGCUCAGACCAGGCAGGCCAGUGCCCUGAUUGAUAGACCUGCUCCACACUUUGAGCGGACAGCGAGCAAACGGGCGUCCAGGAGCCUCGAUGGAGCAGCAGCUGCUGAGUCCACAGACCGAAGUCCUCGGCCCACCUCUGCCCCAGCCAUUGCUCAGAGUCAGGUCACAGAAGGGCCAGGGGCACCUGUCAAAAAAACACCAAAGGAAGCUGCCAAGGUUGAAGAGAAGCGGGGAGAAGAGCCGCCGGCUGAGCCAGAGCCCACAGAAGCGUGGAAGGUGGAAAAAAACACACACCGAGGUCACAGUACCUACCUCAAAUGGUGACCAAACACAGAAGCUUGCAGAAAAAGGUGAAGAUCUGAUAAGAAUGAGGAAGAAAAAGAGAGAGAGACUAGAUGGUGAAAACAUUUAUAUCAGACAUAGCAAUUUAAUGUUGGAGGAUUUAGACAAGAGCCAAGAAGAGAUCAAAAAGCAUCAUGCCAGCAUCAGUGAACUGAAAAAGAACUUUAUGGAAUCAGUACCUGAACCACGGCCCAGCGAAUGGGACAAGCGCUUAUCCACACACUCACCCUUCCGGACUCUUAACAUCAAUGGGCAAGUCCCUACUGGAGAUGGACCUCCCCUGGUAAAGACUCAAACUGUCACCAUCUCAGACACUGCCAAUGCUGUGAAAAGUGAAAUCCCAACCAAAGAUGUCCCUAUUGUCCACACUGAGACCAAGACCAUCACCUAUGAAGCUGCCCAGACUGAGGACAGCAGUGGGGACUUAGACCCUGGAGUCUUGCUGACAGCUCAGACCAUCACAUCUGAGACCACAAGCAGUACAACCACGACACAGAUCACCAAGACUGUAAAAGGUGGAAUUUCCGAGACCCGGAUCGAGAAGAGAAUUGUGAUCACAGGAGAUGCGGAUAUCGACCAUGAUCAGGUCCUCGUACAAGCCAUCAAGGAGGCCAAGGAGCAGCACCCAGACAUGUCAGUGACCAAGGUGGUCGUCCACCAGGAGACCGAGAUCUCUGAGGAGUGAGCUCAGGGACUGUCCUGCCCCGUCCCCACCUGUCCCCAUCCAAGAGAAGCCAGCAUGUGAUAAAGAAGCCAGCCUGCAGCAGACUUCAGACUUUGAAGACUGUUCCACACCACAGAAAACCAACUUCAUUUUCUAUUCAGAAUUUAUACCAAGAGACUCUUCUAGAUGCCACGGGUGUUCUCUAUAUUGUGAUACAGAAACUGUCAACUUUUAAGACACUUUGAUUUUUUUUUAUGGGGUGGUAGGUAACCUCUCAACCAGGCCUCUCCUACUUAUUUUCAACGCAGACCCUGACAGGAUCCACAGACUUCUCCAGGACCCUCCAGGGGUCCCACCAGCUGGUAGAGGUCAGAGCCAGCUCAGUGGGACCUCAUGCCCCUUUCCAGCUUCCUGCCCUCUGGAUGACACAAAAACAUCAUACACCAGUGAAUGGCGGGCAGGGCAAACACCCUGGUCACAGACCCCAGAAGCAUGACCUCCCACUGCAGGGUGUCUGAGGCAGAGCCCUCCGCUGAGCACGUGAUGUCACCUCCGUCUGUUUGGAGCUUAAGUCAAAGAAAUCAAUUGCUUUCCAUAGAGCUGAUACUGUGAACACGUGAGUGCAUCUGUGGCCUUCACCUCCCCAGCUGCCCUGUCCCUCAUUGGAAACAGCAGCUCGCGUGCUCCCCAGCUCCCAUCUCAGGAGACCAGAACUCAUGGAAAAAUUAGGCACUUUUGGCUAAAAGUGCCAAUGACAUUUUUAGUUGUGGUUUGGGGGAAGAAAAGUUAAUGAGGUUUUAAAAAUCAGGUCUUGUUGUUUGGGGAGCUUGCUUCACCCAGGGGAGAGGCACCUUUACCUCAGUCGGAUCCUGUUAAGGCAAGGUGUGCUUCCAGCCUCAGCCUGGGCCCCCUCCCACUUGGCAUGGUAAAGGACAUGGCUCAGGGAAGAGGGUGCAUUCUAGGACCUUUCUGUGACAGGCUUGAGGAUGCCCUCUGGGAGCUGGGGUAUUUCCCAUCUCCUGGUGGCCAUCCCUGGUCAGGGUGGAUGUGAGCCAUUUCUCACCUGCUGCUGCCUGAGAAGUGUGUCAGGUUUUGAGAGCUUGAUUUUAUGGUGGGUUUUGGAUUUAGUUUCCUUUUUCCUUUUUUUUAAUAUUGGUUUUAAAAAGGGAGCCUUUGUUGGUAGUGAGGUUUUGGGGAGCCCCCCCCCCCAAACAGGGCCUCUGUAAUCCUCCAGCUAACUUCCUACAAACAUCUGCUUGGAAGAUUAGUAGAAUCCUAAUUCUAGGCUGGAAUGAACUUCAUGAGGCUUGACAGCGGGUCACCAGCAUCGGUGGCCGGAGGCCAGAGCCAAGUCAGAAGCCACCGCAGCCUCUGGCCUCCAGGCUGAACACUCUAUACAAACUCAGCAACUUUGAACUGCUUUUGCGUGUGCAGUUUUCUUUUAACUCUCGUGAGACUGUUACCAAUGGCAGCUUGCUUUAAGGAAGGGGAGCCCAGGUGGGAGAGGGGCAGGCUUGGGUUCCAUUCUCAGAAGUAAAUUGCAGACUGGGACUGAGCCAGAGAAGGCUGGGCUGCGGAGGAUGGAUUAGCAUACACUCCUGCUCCCAGCCAGCUCUGAAAAGGAGCAGGAGGAGCCUGCCCACUGGGCACUGUGCCAUCCUCAUCAGGACUUCAGACCUGGGCACUUGAACUCUGCCCCUCUGCUGCUGCCUCUGUCUGGAAAUUGGACCAGAAUUCUGAUGUCCCUCCAGCCUCCUCCCCCUCCUAUGCUGGCUCUGGCAACAGAUCCUGGGCUAUGGUAAUUGUUUGGAUUUUCUUUCUGCAGUUGUGUGUGAAGAACAGGCUCUGUCCAGGUAGAAGAAAUGAGGGAGGAGGGGAGUCCCAUCUCCAGGGUCAGAGACUUGGCAGGACUUUUCCCAAAGUGACUCAGGCACACCACAGUAACAAUCCCAACUGCAGUUUUAUUUUUACUUCAGAAGUAGAUUUCCCUCAAACCACAUGAGAUCUCUGCCACCCACCCACAAAGCAAGCCCUAUAUUCCUAAACUGAGGGCCCAAGGAGGCUGACUCUGGGAGCCCUCCCCCAGGCCAGCAGUAUAUUCUGGGGUCUAGGGGCCCUGGCCCAUUUUGAGAAACGGAGGUGGAGCCACGGCCUGGCCAGCAUCCCCAAUGCUCACGGGAAAUAUCAGCCCCAGGCUGGUUGUUUUUACAAAUCUCUCUCAGAUAUAUUAUUUUCAUGACAAAAAUGAAGGAGCUUUGUAAAUUUUUAAAAAAAUUAUGAAUCAUAUCAAGUAGUUGUUUACAUUUGACAAAAUAGGAACUAUGCCGGCAGAGUCCAACUGGACACCCCUUAGGUGAGAUAGGCAGUAACUGGGCCUGCUGUCUGCGCCUUGCCUUUCGUAGUGACAGAUGUGGCUGUAGUGUUUAGGUAAGUGUUUGGUCUUGCUUCUUGUAUGGCAUUUUUCAAUAAACUU